rnacentral:lncRNA from 1 species
AGCCUGACUGCUACUGGAGCCCAGUGUGAGUCCUGGCAGAAGAAAUCUGCAAACCCUAGUCAGAUGUGUUUCAGCUUUGCAGUGGAUGGUAGGGCCACCCUCCCAUUGGGGUCAGGUCAGAGGACAUGACUCUUUAACAUUACUGAAAUUAGAAGUUUCUUGAAUACAAGAUGAAGGAAGACAUCAAAUAACAAGUAGUAAGUCACACAUUUAAAACAGAAUUUGGCUUCUACAUUUUCUUGGGAAUGGGUAGAGAAAAAAGCUUCCCUUUUUCUGUUUA